UCAAUUGGAAAUAAUUACAACCAAUAACUAAGAAUAUACUGAUAAAUACAAACAGCUUACUUAUGUAGGAUAAUACAAAGCAUGCGCAUACAAAGUUCAUUGAGAAACAAGAUUAUAGUACCAUAAUCAUACAUAUACCUAUGUAUGCGGAUAUGUACAACACCCUUUAGUGAAUAAGUAUACUCCUCACGUUGGUGUAAACGAGACAACGUGAGACGAGACAUGUGAAUAAUAUGUUUAAAAGAUUAACAACGCUACUCUGGUGGAACUGCUUUGAUAUUUGAUUGUAUUCGUGCACUCGUACAUUUGUACAUUCGUCGUUGCCUUUAGGAGCGUUCACUGGUUUUAAGCUCAAGUAUCCGCAGAGUGAUGACUUAGUUUCGGAUUGUUAUUGAAAACGAAUAGUUUAUGUAUUCCAAUGUUAAUUUACAAUCGCAUGCUAACGAAUACUUGGAAAGAAACCUGGCUACCGACGAUCUGACAACUGAUAAUGUUAGUUUUAGAUGGAGCUGACAAUAAUCAACGGAAUGUGGGCACAGCAUUUAGACCGAAUUGAGUUGGCUAACCAUCUCGAGUUGAAUCAUUGCUAAAUGAGGACUUCAUAUCAAAACCGAGGAUAUGUUUUUGAAUUAAUUUAUCUUUUGUUUUAUUCUAAAAUGUUGUUUUUAUAAUCAAUCAUGUGGAUAAUAAGAAGUGAUAAAUAAUUUAUUGGUUGUUUUACAUGUAUAAUAUUUAAUAAUUAAUUAAUAUAGUAUUUAAAUUAAA